ACGACUGCUAAGACUGGAUAGGAGACAAGAGGGCAUCUUCUUGUUUUUAAAAGACCUAGCAAUAGGUAUGCUUAGGGAGGAGCUUGCGUCACAUUAGUUAGUUGGUGGGGUAAAGGCCUAACAAGACUAUGAUGUGUAGCCGGGCUGAGAGGUUGAACGGCCACAUUGGGACUGAGACACGGCCCAAACUCCUACGGGAGGCAGCAGUAGGGAAUUUUCGGCAAUGGAGGAAACUCUGACCGAGCAACGCCGCGUGAACGAUGAAGUAUUUCGGUACGUAAAGUUCUUUUAUUAGGGAAGAAUAAAUGAUGGAAAAAUCAUUCUGACGGUACCUAAUGAAUAAGCCCCGGCUAACUAUGUGCCAGCAGCCGCGGUAAUACAUAGGGGGCAAGCGUUAUCCGGAAUUAUUGGGCGUAAAGGGUGCGUAGGCGGUUAAAUAAGUUUAUGGUCUAAGUGCAAUGCUCAACAUUGUGAUGCUAUAAAAACUGUUUAGCUAGAGUAAGAUAGAGGCAAGUGGAAUUCCAUGUGUAGUGGUAAAAUGCGUAAAUAUAUGGAGGAACACCAGUAGCGAAGGCGGCUUGCUGGGUCUUUACUGACGCUGAGGCACGAAAGCGUGGGGAGCAAACAGGAUUAGAUACCCUGGUAGUCCACGCCGUAAACGAUGAGUACUAAACGUUGGGUAAAACCAGUGUUGAAGUUAACACAUUAAGUACUCCGCCUGAGUAGUACGUACGCAAGUAUGAAACUUAAAGGAAUUGACGGGACUCCGCACAAGCGGUGGAUCAUGUUGUUUAAUUCGAAGGUACCCGAAAAACCUCACCAGGUCUUGACAUGCUUCUGCAAAGCUGUAGAAACACAGUGGAGGUUAUCAGUUGCACAGGUGGUGCAUGGUUGUCGUCAGCUCGUGUCGUGAGAUGUUGGGUUAAGUCCCGCAACGAGCGCAACCCUUAUUGUUAGUUACCAGCACGUAAUGGUGGGGACUUUAGCAAGACUGCCAGUGAUAAAUUGGAGGAAGGUGGGGACGACGUCAAAUCAUCAUGCCCCUUAUGACCUGGGCUACAAACGUGAUACAAUGGCUGUUACAAAGGGUAGCUGAAGCGCAAGUUUUUGGCGAAUCUCAAAAAACAGUCUCAGUUCGGAUUGAAGUCUGCAACUCGACUUCAUGAAGUUGGAAUCGCUAGUAAUCGCGAAUCAGCAUGUCGCGGUGAAUACGUUCUCGGGGUUUGUACACACCGCCCGUCA
rnacentral:rRNA from 1 species